GAGAGCAAUUAGGUUACAACAUCUGUCACUUCAUUGAUUAUUAAGUAUUAUUUAAGUCCUCUGACUUUCUAGGCAGAUGUUCUUGUCCUCCCUC
rnacentral:sRNA from 1 species